AUGUCUAUGGAAAUAUUUGCAGCUACUAAUUUUAUUUGGUUGAACUGUUACAGUGUUGAUUCAUUUUAUUUAAUUAAUUCAUUUAAUCAGGAUGCAAUUUAUCUUGAUUUUGGUUGUAGAGGUUGGCGAUUUGAAGGAGCUGCAGACACUAGACAUUUCUACCAAUCGUUUGCUAACUUUACCCGAGAGGCUUCACCUGUGCCUUUCUCUGCAGUACCUCACUGUGGACCGAAAUCGUCUGUGGUGUGUGCCGCGCCAUCUCUGCCAGCUGCCCAGCCUCAAUGAGCUCUCCAUGGCUGGAAACCGUCUUGCAUUUUUGCCGCUUGAUUUAGGUCGAUCUCGAGAACUACAAUAUGUGUAUGUGGAUAACAACAUUCAUCUGAAAGGCUUGCCGUCCUAUCUGUACAACAAAGUCAUCGGGUGCAGUGGCUGUGGUGCUCCCAUUCAAGUUUCUGAGGUGAAGCUGCUUUCCUUUUCAUCAGGGCAACUAACAGUUUUCCUCCCUGCUGAGGUGAAGGCCAUAGGGACAGAGAAGGAUCACGUCCUGCCUCUGCAAGAGCUGGCCAUGAGGAGUCUGCAUCACACCUACCACAGUUUUCUAAAAGAUCUGGACUUUCUGUCUCCAGUCUCGUUACCCAGAAGUCUCCUGGAGCUGCUGCACUGCCCUUUGGGGCACUGUCACCGGUGUAGUGAGCCCAUGUUUACGAUUGUUUACCCCAAGCUAUUUCCCUUGAGAGAGACGCCAAUGGCAGGGCUGCACCAGGGGAGGACAACUGUGAGUUUUGUGGCUUACUGCUGCUCCACCCAGUGUCUGCAGACUUUUGACCUACUGAGUUGAUAAACACUCAAGAGCCUCAGGAGUGUUGCCAGCUUGACACUGCAGUUGCCUGCAUAUCGCACAGUGUGACAGAGGGACAGGAGAGUCCAGCCAGGCCCAACAGGCCCUUCCGAUCUGUCCUGUCACGCUUGGGGACUGCAGGGCUCUGGAAAUGUCAUGAUCGAGCUUCAGAGCUGAAAUGCCUUCACCCUUCCCCCAAGUUGGAAUAUAUCCUUCACCAAAUUAA